rnacentral:rRNA from 1 species
AUUGAACGCUGGCGGCAUGCCUUACACAUGCAAGUCGAACGGUAACAGGUCUUCGGAUGCUGACGAGUGGCGAACGGGUGAGUAAUACAUCGGAACGUGCCCGAGAGUGGGGGAUAACGAGGCGAAAGCUUUGCUAAUACCGCAUACGAUCUCAGGAUGAAAGCAGGGGACCGCAAGGCCUUGCGCUCACGGAGCGGCCGAUGGCAGAUUAGGUAGUUGGUGGGAUAAAAGCUUACCAAGCCGACGAGCUGUAGCUGGUCUGAGAGGACGACCAGCCACACUGGGACUGAGACACGGCCCAGACUCCUACGGGAGGCGGCAGUGGGGAAUUUUGGACAAUGGGCGCAAGCCUGAUCCAGCCAUGCCGCGUGCAGGAUGAAGGCCUUCGGGUUGUAAACUGCUUUUGUACGGAACGAAAAGACUCUGGUUAAUACCUGGGGUCCAUGACGGUACCGUAAGAAUAAGCACCGGCUAACUACGUGCCAGCAGCCGCCGCCGUAA